CGGGCGGCUGCAGUGGGGAAUCUUAGACAAUGGGCGCAAGCCUGAUCUAGCCAUGCCGCGUGAGUGACGAAGGCCUUAGGGUCGUAAAGCUCUUUCGCCUGUGAUGAUAAUGACAGUAGCAGGUAAAGAAACCCCGGCUAACUCCGUGCCAGCAGCCGCGGUAAUACGGAGGGGGUUAGCGUUGUUCGGAAUUACUGGGCGUAAAGCGCACGUAGGCGGAUUGGAAAGUAUGGGGUGAAAUCCCAGGGCUCAACCCUGGAACGGCCUCAUAAACUCCCAGUCUGGAGUUCGAGAGAGGUGAGUGGAAUUCCGAGUGUAGAGGUGAAAUUCGUAGAUAUUCGGAGGAACACCAGUGGCGAAGGCGGCUCACUGGCUCGAUACUGACGCUGAGGUGCGAAAGUGUGGGGAGCAAACAGGAUUAGAUACCCCAGUAGUC
rnacentral:rRNA from 1 species